rnacentral:tRNA from 1 species
UCCCUGGUGGCUCAGACGGUAAAGCGUCUGCCUGCAAUGCGGGAGACCUGGGUUCAAUCCCUGGGUUGGGAA